rnacentral:lncRNA from 1 species
CGCUCCAUUAUAUGUAGCAGUUUUAUUUUUAAAAGUCAAUAUUUACAAAAUACUAUAAAUUACACCCUUGUAACCAUUUCAAAUUAUGAUUAAAAAAAUUGUCACCUUAAUAAUGUGUGAGAUGGGGCAUCGUUUUUAAAAAAUUUUAAGGCACAAAUAACCAAAACUUUUGAAAAUUAUUAAACUAAGUGUGGCCUACUAUUGUUUCUCAGACUAUGAUUCCAUAAAACGUGAGAUUUGUCCUUAAUAAUAUUUGCUACUACUCACCUGCAACAAAAUAUUAUGCUUUAAUAAUAAGCUAUUAGCAAAAAACAAACUGCCAUAGGCAUACAUGUUUUCAGAAGGUUGUGUCAUGUUCGAUAAAUUUCCAUAGUACAGGGUUGGAAGACCACUAAUGUUGAGAAUUAAGAAAAAAAUAAAUGAAAGGCCUAACAUGAGUUCUCCUGAGUAGUUUCCAGAAAAUUUAGAGAAAAUGGAAGUGACUUUCUGGCAUUUAGUUGUUUGAAAUUCUGCUAAACAACUUUGUACUUCCUUCUCUCUCCCUUCUAACCCAUCUGCCAGGAGGAUCUGGAAGUAAAUAUUAUCAACAAUUGUCAUUCCAUUGAUAUCAAAAUCUUCAAUUUCCAACAGAAGAUGGUCAAAAAAAAAGGAAACUAGUACUGUAUCACCUCUAUCAGAUGAGACGUCUGAGAGUCCAGUGAAUAUACAUACACAUAAGAAUGGAAGCCACACAUGCAUCCAAGAGCACCCACGCCCUGUCCCUAAGGUCACUAAGCCUGUUGUAGUUACUGCCACUGCUGACCAGCCAACCUGCCAGCAUCAGAGACCUUGAUUAGCCUCAGGAUGGCACUGUCUUCAAGGAGACCAGCCAGCCCCUCCAUAGCAGGCUGAUGUCAAAGCAAAAAUUGCACUGGACGAAGUUAAAC